AGGACUUUACAGGUAGUUUACAUAUAGACAGAAUAUAGACAGAGGACUUUACAGGUAGUUUACAUAUAGACAGAAUAUAGACAGAGGACUUUACAGGUAGUUUACAUAUAGACAGAGGACUUUACAGGUAGUUUACAUAUAGACAGAAUAUAGACAGAGGACUUUACAGGUAGUUUACAUAUAGACAGAAUAUAGACAGAGGACUUUACAGGUAGUUUACAUAUAGACAGAGGACUUUACAGGUAGUCUACAUAUAGACAGAAUAUAGACAGAGGACUUUACAGGUAGUCUACAUAUAGACAGAAUAUAGACAGAGGACUUUACAGGUAGUUUACAUAUAGACAGAAUAUAGACAGAGGACUUUACAGGUAGUCUACAUAUAGACAGGAUAUAGACAGAGGACUUUACAGGUAGUUUACAUAUAGACAGCAUAUAGACAGAGGACUUUACAGGUAGUUUACAUAUAGACAGAGGACUUUACAGGUAGUUUACAUAUAGACAGAAUAUAGACAGAGGACUUUACAGGUAGUUUACAUAUAGACAGAAUAUAGACAGAGGACUUUACAGGUAGUUUACAUAUAGACAGAGGACUUUACAGGUAGUUUACAUAUAGACAGAAUAUAGACAGAGGACUUUACAGGUAGUUUACAUAUAGACAGAAUAUAGACAGAGGACUUUACAGGUAGUUUACAUAUAGACAGAGGACUUUACAGAUAGUCUACAUAUAGACAGAAUAUAGACAGAGGACUUUACAGGUAGUCUACAUAUAGACAGAAUAUAGACAGAGGACUUUACAGGUAGUUUACAUAUAGACAGAAUAUAGACAGAGGACUUUACAGGUAGUUUACAUAUAGACAGGAUAUAGACAGAGGACUUUACAGGUAGUUUACAUAUAGACAGAGGACUUUACAGGUAGUUUACAUAUAGACAGAAUAUAGACAGAGGACUUUACAGGUAGUCUACAUAUAGACAGAAUAUAGACAGAGGACUUUACAGAUAGUUUACAUAUAGACAGGAUAUAGACAGAGGACUUUACAGGUAGUUUACAUAUAGACAGAGGACUUUACAGGUAGUUUACAUAUAGACAGAAUAUAGACAGAGGACUUUACAGGUAGUUUACAUAUAGACAGAAUAUAGACAGAGGACUUUACAGGUAGUUUACAUAUAGACAGAAUAUAGACAGAGGACUUUACAGAUAGUCUACAUAUAGACAGAAUAUAGACAGAGGACUUUACAGGUAGUUUACAUAUAGACAGAAUAUAGACAGAGGACUUUACAGGUAGUUUACAUAUAGACAGAGGACUUUACAGGUAGUUUACAUAUAGACAGAAUAUAGACAGAGGACUUUACAGGUAGUUUACAUAUAGACAGAAUAUAGACAGAGGACUUUACAGGUAGUUUACAUAUAGACAGAGGACUUUACAGGUAGUUUACAUAUAGACAGAAUAUAGACAGAGGACUUUACAGGUAGUUUACAUAUAGACAGAAUAUAGACAGAGGACUUUACAGAUAGUUUACAUAUAGACAGAAUAUAGACAGAGGACUUUACAGGUAGUUUACAUAUAGACAGAGGACUUUACAGGUAGUCUACAUAUAGACAGAAUAUAGACAGAGGACUUUACAGGUAGUCUACAUAUAGACAGAAUAUAGACAGAGGACUUUACAGGUAGUUUACAUAUAGACAGAAUAUAGACAGAGGACUUUACAGGUAGUUUACAUAUAGACAGAAUAUAGACAGAGGACUUUACAGGUAGUUUACAUAUAGACAGAAUAUAGACAGAGGACUUUACAGGUAGUUUACAUAUAGACAGGAUAUAGACAGAGGACUUUACAGGUAGUUUACAUAUAGACAGAAUAUAGACAGAGGACUUUACAGAUAGUUUACAUAUAGACAGAAUAUAGACAGAGGACUUUACAGGUAGUUUACAUAUAGACAGAAUAUAGACAGAGGACUUUACAGGUAGUUUACAUAUAGACAGGAUAUAGACAGAGGACUUUACAGGUAGUUUACAUAUAGACAGAAUAUAGACAGAGGACUUUACAGGUAGUUUACAUAUAGACAGGAUAUAGACAGAGGACUUUACAGGUAGUUUACAUAUAGACAGAAUAUAGACAGAGGACUUUACAGGUAGUUUACAUAUAGACAGAGGACUUUACAGGUAGUUUACAUAUAGACAGAAUAUAGACAGAGGACUUUACAGGUAGUUUACAUAUAGACAGAAUAUAGACAGAGGACUUUACAGGUAGUUUACAUAUAGACAGAGGACUUUACAGGUAGUUUACAUAUAGACAGAAUAUAGACAGAGGACUUUACAGGUAGUUUACAUAUAGACAGAAUAUAGACAGAGGACUUUACAGGUAGUUUACAUAUAGACAGAGGACUUUACAGGUAGUUUACAUAUAGACAGAAUAUAGACAGAGGACUUUACAGGUAGUCUACAUAUAGACAGAAUAUAGACAGAGGACUUUACAGGUAGUUUACAUAUAGACAGAGGACUUUACAGGUAGUUUACAUAUAGACAGAAUAUAGACAGAGGACUUUACAGGUAGUUUACAUAUAGACAGAAUAUAGACAGAGGACUUUACAGGUAGUUUACAUAUAGACAGAAUAUAGACAGAGGACUUUACAGGUAGUUUACAUAUAGACAGAAUAUAGACAGAGGACUUUACAGGUAGUUUACAUAUAGACAGAGGACUUUACAGGUAGUCUACAUAUAGACAGAAUAUAGACAGAGGACUUUACAGAUAGUCUACAUAUAGACAGGAUAUAGACAGAGGACUUUACAGGUAGUUUACAUAUAGACAGAAUAUAGACAGAGGACUUUACAGGUAGUUUACAUAUAGACAGAAUAUAGACAGAGGACUUUACAGGUAGUUUACAUAUAGACAGAAUAUAGACAGAGGACUUUACAGGUAGUUUACAUAUAGACAGAAUAUAGACAGAGGACUUUACAGAUAGUUUACAUAUAGACAGGAUAUAGACAGAGGACUUUACAGGUAGUCUACAUAUAGACAGAAUAUAGACAGAGGACUUUACAGGUAGUUUACAUAUAGACAGGAUAUAGACAGAGGACUUUACAGGUAGUUUACAUAUAGACAGGAUAUAGACAGAGGACUUUACAAGUAGUUUACAUAUAGACAGAGGACUUUACAGGUAGUUUACAUAUAGACAGAAUAUAGACAGAGGACUUUACAGGUAGUUUACAUAUAGACAGAGGACUUUACAGGUAGUUUACAUAUAGACAGAGGACUUUACAGGUAGUUUACAUAUAGACAGAAUAUAGACAGAGGACUUUACAGGUAGUUUACAUAUAGACAGAAUAUAGACAGAGGACUUUACAGGUAGUUUACAUAUAGACAGAAUAUAGACAGAGGACUUUACAGGUAGUUUACAUAUAGACAGCAUAUAGACAGAGGACUUUACAGGUAGUUUACAUAUAGACAGAAUAUAGACAGAGGACUUUACAGGUAGUUUACAUAUAGACAGAAUAUAGACAGAGGACUUUACAGGUAGUUUACAUAUAGACAGGAUAUAGACAGAGGACUUUACAGGUAGUCUACAUAUAGACAGAAUAUAGACAGAGGACUUUACAGAUAGUUUACAUAUAGACAGAAUAUAGACAGAGGACUUUACAGGUAGUUUACAUAUAGACAGAAUAUAGACAGAGGACUUUACAGGUAGUUUACAUAUAGACAGAGGACUUUACAGGUAGUUUACAUAUAGACAGAGGACUUUACAGGUAGUUUACAUAUAGACAGAAUAUAGACAGAGGACUUUACAGGUAGUUUACAUAUAGACAGAAUAUAGACAGAGGACUUUACAGGUAGUUUACAUAUAGACAGAGGACUUUACAGAUAGUUUACAUAUAGACAGAGGACUUUACAGAUAGUUUACAUAUAGACAGAAUAUAGACAGAGGACUUUACAGGUAGUUUACAUAUAGACAGAAUAUAGACAGAGGACUUUACAGGUAGUUUACAUAUAGACAGAAUAUAGACAGAGGACUUUACAGGUAGUUUACAUAUAGACAGAGGACUUUACAGGUAGUUUACAUAUAGACAGAAUAUAGACAGAGGACUUUACAGGUAGUUUACAUAUAGACAGGAUAUAGACAGAGGACUUUACAGAUAGUUUACAUAUAGACAGAAUAUAGACAGAGGACUUUACAGAUAGUUUACAUAUAGACAGAAUAUAGACAGAGGACUUUACAGGUAGUUUACAUAUAGACAGAAUAUAGACAGAGGACUUUACAGGUAGUUUACAUAUAGACAGAGGACUUUACAGGUAGUUUACAUAUAGACAGAGGACUUUACAGGUAGUUUACAUAUAGACAGAAUAUAGACAGAGGACUUUACAGGUAGUUUACAUAUAGACAGAAUAUAGACAGAGGACUUCACAGGUAGUUUACAUAUAGACAGAGGACUUUACAGAUAGUUUACAUAUAGACAGAAUAUAGACAGAGGACUUUACAGGUAGUCUACAUAUAGACAGAAUAUAGACAGAGGACUUUACAGGUAGUUUACAUAUAGACAGAAUAUAGACAGAGGACUUUACAGGUAGUUUACAUAUAGACAGAAUAUAGACAGAGGACUUUACAGGUAGUCUACAUAUAGACAGAAUAUAGACAGAGGACUUUACAGGUAGUCUACAUAUAGACAGAGGACUUUACAGGUAGUUUACAUAUAGACAGAAUAUAGACAGAGGACUUUACAGGUAGUUUACAUAUAGACAGAAUAUAGACAGAGGACUUUACAGGUAGUUUACAUAUAGACAGAAUAUAGACAGAGGACUUUACAGGUAGUCUACAUAUAGACAGAAUAUAGACAGAGGACUUUACAGGUAGUCUACAUAUAGACAGAGGACUUUACAGGUAGUUUACAUAUAGACAGAAUAUAGACAGAGGACUUUACAGGUAGUUUACAUAUAGACAGAAUAUAGACAGAGGACUUUACAGGUAGUUUACAUAUAGACAGAGGACUUUACAGGUAGUCUACAUAUAGACAGAAUAUAGACAGAGGACUUUACAGGUAGUUUACAUAUAGACAGAGGACUUUACAGGUAGUUUACAUAUAGACAGGAUAUAGACAGAGGACUUUACAGGUAGUUUACAUAUAGACAGAAUAUAGACAGAGGACUUUACAGGUAGUUUACAUAUAGACAGAAUAUAGACAGAGGACUUUACAGAUAGUCUACAUAUAGACAGAGGACUUUACAGAUAGUCUACAUAUAGACAGGAUAUAGACAGAGGACUUUACAGGUAGUUUACAUAUAGACAGGAUAUAGACAGAGGACUUUACAGGUAGUUUACAUAUAGACAGGAUAUAGACAGAGGACUUUACAGGUAGUUUACAUAUAGACAGAAUAUAGACAGAGGACUUUACAGGUAGUCUACAUAUAGACAGAAUAUAGACAGAGGUCUUUACAGGUAGUUUACAUAUAGACAGAAUAUAGACAGAGGACUUUACAGGUAGUUUACAUAUAGACAGAGGACUUUACAGGUAGUCUACAUAUAGACAGAAUAUAGACAGAGGACUUUACAGGUAGUUUACAUAUAGACAGAAUAUAGACAGAGGACUUUACAGGUAGUUUACAUAUAGACAGAAUAUAGACAGAGGACUUUACAGGUAGUCUACAUAUAGACAGAAUAUAGACAGAGGACUUUACAGGUAGUUUACAUAUAGACAGAAUAUAGACAGAGGACUUUACAGGUAGUUUACAUAUAGACAGAAUAUAGACAGAGGACUUUACAGGUAGUUUACAUAUAGACAGAAUAUAGACAGAGGACUUUACAGGUAGUCUACAUAUAGACAGAAUAUAGACAGAGGACUUUACAGAUAGUUUA